AUGCUAAGUUGGCCCCUGACAACAACUAUUGUGAUUUUGAGGAGCAUCACUGAUAUUAUCUACUUAAUGCACAUUCUUCUUCAGUUCCGAUUAGCUUAUGUUGCCCCUGAAUCUAGGGUGGUGGGCGCAGGUGACCUGGUUGACCACCCUAAAAAGAUUGCUAUAAACUAUCUCUCGGGAUACUUUGUUGUUGACUUCUUCAUCGUAUUACCACUUCCUCAGAUCAUCAUAUUGCUGAUUUUACCCAAGUCUAUAGCAUCAUCUGGGGCAAAUUACGCAAAGAAUCUACUGAGGG
rnacentral:misc_RNA from 1 species